rnacentral:rRNA from 1 species
AUUGAACGCUGGCAGCAUGCCUAACACAUGCAAGUCGAACGGUAACAGGUUAAGCUGACGAGUGGCGAACGGGUGAGUAAUGUAUCGGAACGUGCACAGUCGUGGGGGAUAACUACUCGCAAGAGUGGCUAAUACCGCAAACGAGCUGAGGGGGAAAGCGGGGGACCGUAAGGCCUUGCGCGACUGGAGGGGACGGGAGCUACUUAGUUAGUUGGUGGGGUAAAAGCCCACCAAGGCGACGCUCUGUAGCUGGUCUGAGCGGACGACCAGCCACACUGAGACUGAGACCCGGCCCAGACUCCUACGGGAGGCAGCAGUGGGGAAUUUUGGACAAUGGACGCAAGUCUGAUCCAGCCAUGCCGCGUGCGGGAAGAAGGCCUUCGGGUUGUAAACCGCUUUUGUCAGGGAAGAAACGCGUUUCUCUAAUACAGAGACUUAAUGACGGUACCUGAAGAAUAAGGACCGGCUAACUACGUGCCAGCAGCCGCCGUAAAAC